UUCCUUUCUGAUAUUCAAGAGGUAGCUAAGCAGUCAAAAGUCAUGAUGGGACAGAGCUGUCAACAAUGAAAAAAAGGCAGGAGGAACAUGACACCUGAGUUACAUACAAUCCGAGUCCCAGCUGUGAACCUUUACCAGGCUAGCACUGCUUCAACUGAAGUUUGAACCAAAAGGAUCUGUUUGGGUUAAGGAAACCAACCAAGGAUGUUGAGGCCUCUGAAGACUAGCAGAAGAAGGAAAUAUUACCACUCUUAUGCCCGAAGGAGCAAAGGGAGGGAAUAGUGAAAACAGUUGCCAGGGAGGAGGGUCUACCUGGACAGAAGCUAAAGUCCUAGAGGGACCAGCUACUUCCAGAGAACAGCAUGGAAGCAGAGAGGAUACAUGGAGUAAACACCUCUCUUUCCACCAAUAUGCCACCAACUGAACCAUGAAGAAUGCAGCCAGCUCAAAAACCUUGGCACAGCCGUCCACAGAUAUGGGUUAGGUUCACCAGUGAGGUUCUAGAGUUAAGAUGAUCCUUCAAGCCUCUCUAAAGUUGAAGCAAGGGUAUGAAGCAAGGGGAGGUCUUUAUAUCCUGGUAAAGAUGAGUGACUGGACACAGGCUGCUCCUGGAAGGAGGUAUGGCCUUAGGGGAGGCAGUUUUCUUGAGGAGAUAUAAUCCCCAAAGGGGCUAACACCUGAGAUUUGUCAUCCAGGGGCUGAGGGAAUGAGACUUUCAUUCUUGAAAUGGGAAUCUGGGUGGCAUAUGCACCAUGGCAGGGAUCAGCUUCCUCAGCAAAGAAGGGAGGAGAAUGCAGCUGGGAGCAGUGGAAGGAGGAAUAUGUAAUAAACACAAAAGACUCUUCAAAGCCCAGCAUGUGAAUCAGCCACUCUCAGAAGCAGUGUCUUACUCUGCAGCUCCAGGUAGCUCCACAGUAUUCAUGGAGAGAUUUACCAGCUUUCUCAGCAUACAAUAUUAAACCAGUCUGUUUACUAGUCUGCCCUCUUGUGAGCUCCAUGACAAUAGGGGUUGUGCCUUCUCUAUACUUAUCCCCACUCUGAUGAUACUUCUAACCCAGAAUCCCAUGGAUGCUCAAAAAAUUACUCGUUAAAUGGUAAACAAUUAAUAAAGCUUAAAAGGUUCAUCCUUUAUAAUAACAAA